rnacentral:rRNA from 1 species
UACAGAGGGUGCAAGCGUUGUUCGGAAUUAUUGGGCGUAAAGCGCGUGUAGGCGGCCUUGCAAGUCGGGUGUGAAAGCCCUCAGCUUAACUGAGGAAGUGCGCCCGAAACUGCUUGGCUUGAGCACCGGAGAGGAUGGCGGAAUUCCCCAAGUAGAGGUGAAAUUCGUAGAUAUGGGGAGGAACACCGGUGGCGAAGGCGGCCAUCUGGACGGAUACUGACGCUGAGACGCGAAAGCGUGGGUAGCAAACAGG